rnacentral:rRNA from 1 species
AGAGUUUGAUCCUGGCUCAGAUUGAACGCUGGCGGCAUGCUUUACACAUGCAAGUCGAACGGCAGCACAGGGAGCUUGCUCCCGGGUGGCGAGUGGCGCACGGGUGAGUAAUACAUCGGAACGUGUCCUGUUGUGGGGGAUAACUGCUCGAAAGGGUGGCUAAUACCGCAUGAGACCUGAGGGUGAAAGCGGGGGAUCGCAAGACCUCGCGCAAUUGGAGCGGCCGAUGCCCGAUUAGCUAGUUGGUGAGGUAAAGGCUCACCAAGGCGACGAUCGGUAGCUGGUCUGAGAGGACGACCAGCCACACUGGAACUGAGACACGGCCCAGACUCCUACGGGAGGCAGCAGUGGGGAAUUUUGGACAAUGGGGGCAACCCUGAUCCAGCCAUGCCGCGUGCAGGAUGAAGGCCUUCGGGUUGUAAACUGCUUUUGUCAGGGACGAAAAGGAUCGUGAUAAUACCAUGGUCUGCUGACGGUACCUGAAGAAUAAGCACCGGCUAACUACGUGCCAGCAGCCGCGGUAAUACGUAGGGUGCAAGCGUUAAUCGGAAUUACUGGGCGUAAAGCGUGCGCAGGCGGUUCUGUAAGACAGAUGUGAAAUCCCCGGGCUCAACCUGGGAAUUGCAUUUGUGACUGCAGGACUAGAGUUCAUCAGAGGGGGGUGGAAUUCCAAGUGUAGCAGUGAAAUGCGUAGAUAUUUGGAAGAACACCAAUGGCGAAGGCAGCCCCCUGGGAUGCGACUGACGCUCAUGCUCGAAAGCGUGGGGAGCAAACAGGAUUAGAUACCCUGGUAGUCCACGCCCUAAACGAUGUCUACUGGUUGUUGGGGUUUAUUAACCUUGGUAACGAAGCUAACGCGUGAAGUAGACCGCCUGGGGAGUACGGUCGCAAGAUUAAAACUCAAAGGAAUUGACGGGGACCCGCACAAGCGGUGGAUGAUGUGGAUUAAUUCGAUGCAACGCGAAAAACCUUACCUAGCCUUGACAUGCCAGGAAUCCUGAAGAGAUUCGGGAGUGCCCGCAAGGGAAUCUGGACACAGGUGCUGCAU